rnacentral:rRNA from 1 species
CCUACGGGGGGCAGCAGUGGGGAAUAUUGCGCAAUGGGCGCAAGCCUGACGCAGCGACGCCGCGUGAGGGAUGAAGGUCUUCGGAUCGUAAACCUCUGUCAGCAGGGAAGAACGGUCACUGUGCUAAUCAGCAGUGAAUUGACGGUACCUGCAAAGGAAGCACCGGCUAACUCCGUGCCAGCCGCCGCGGUAAUACGGAGGGUGCGAGCGUUAAUCGGAUUUACUGGGCGUAAAGCGCUCGUAGGCGGUAUGUCAAGUCAAGGGUGAAAUCCCCGCGCUCAACGUGGGAACUGCCUUUGAAACUGGCAAACUGGAGUGUGUGAGAGGAUAGUGGAAUUCCAGGUGUAGGAGUGAAAUCCGUAGAUAUCUGGAGGAACAUCAGUGGCGAAGGCGACUAUCUGGCACAUAACUGACGCUGAGGAGCGAAAGCGUGGGUAGCAAACAGGAUUAGAUACCCUUGUAGUC